rnacentral:rRNA from 1 species
CCUACGGGAGGCAGCAGUGGGGAAUAUUGGGCAAUGGGCGCAAGCCUGACCCAGCAACGCCGCGUGAAGGAAGAAGGCUUUCGGGUUGUAAACUUCUUUUGUCAGGGACGAAGCAAGUGACGGUACCUGACUAAUAAGCCACGGCUAACUACGUGCCAGCAGCCGCGGUAAUACGUAGGUGGCAAGCGUUAUUCGGAUUUACUGGGUGUAAAGGGCGUGUAGGCGGGAAUGCAAGUCAGAGGUGAAAACCGCGGGCUCAACCCGCGGCCUGCAUUUGAAACUGUAGUACUAGAGUACAGGAGAGGCAGACGGAAUUCCUGGUGUAGCGGUGAAAUGCGUAGAUAUUAGGAGGAACACCAGUGGCGAAGGCGGGCUGCUGGACAGUAACUGACGCUGAGGCGCGAAAGCGUGGGGAGCAAACAGGAUUAGAUACCCCAGUAGUC